rnacentral:rRNA from 1 species
UCGGGAAUUUUGGGCAAUGGGCGAAAGCCUGACCCAGCAACGCCGCGUGAAGGAUGAAGUAUUUCGGUAUGUAAACUUCGAAAGAAUAGGAAGAAUAAAUGACGGUACCUGAAGAAUAAGCACCGGCUAACUACGUGCCAGCAGCCGCGGUGAUACGUAGGGUGCGAGCGUUAAUCGGAAUUACUGGGCGUAAAGCGUGCGCAGGCGGCUUUGCAAGACAGAUGUGAAAUCCCCGGGCUCAACCUGGGAACUGCAUUUGUGACUGCAAGGCUAGAGUACGGUAGAGGGGGAUGGAAUUCCGCGUGUAGCAGUGAAAUGCGUAGAUAUGCGGAGGAACACCGAUGGCGAAGGCAAUCCCCUGGACCUGUACUGACGCUCAUGCACGAAAGCGUGGGGAGCAAACAGGAUUAGAUACCCCCGUAG